rnacentral:tRNA from 1 species
GCAUCCGUAGCUCAGCUGGAUAGAGUACUGGCUACGAACCGAGCGGUCGGAGGUUCGAAUCCUCCCGGAUGCACCA